UGUCGCGUGGCUCAGUGGUAAAGCUGACAUACCAUAUGCUGAGGCUACAGUCCUCGACGCAGCUGGCCUGGGUUCGAUUCCCAGGCCUGGGGUAU